rnacentral:lncRNA from 1 species
ACACAUCCCGAUUGUCCCUCUAACUGCAGGGUGUUCACCAGGCAGAGAAAACAAAGCAAGGGCCAGUUCUCGAGGGUCGAGGAAUGGAACUAUCAGCUGUCAAGACAAAGCCACAAAGGGUCUGGGAGACAGAGACAAUCUCCCACACACACCCAAGGCAUGCAACAAUGCCACAUUUGGAUACACUGGGACUUUCCCACAGACGGAACCAGAGCGGGGUCGCUCCUACAUGCACCAGCUUGGGAACCCCACUCCGGCCCUCUGCCGCAGCCCGAUCGCACCGCCGUCCCCGCUUCCCACCCCGAGGCCCAGUGCUUACUCGAACAUGGAUGCGGCGCCCCGGCUGCAGGGCAGGACCCGGCCGGCUGCGCUGAGAUGGGCCUCCCGGGCCUCGCCUGCCUCGGCCGCCGCCUCCACCGGACCCUGCCACCCGCACAAAAGGCCGGAGCCGCCGGAGGCCGCCUCGGCGUCAGCGACACCCCCUUCCUGCUCCCGCCCCGCGCGCGUCACGGCGCCGCCCCCGCCGGGAGGGGGACCUGGACGCGAGCGCGGGCCUAGGCCUAGGAUGGCUGGAGAAAGAGUCCGGCUGGGAGAUAGAAGAAAAUUUUUAUUUAAAAUGAGCAGCCUGGGCGGGGCGUGAUAGCGCACGCCUCACAUCCCAGAGGCUGAGGCAGGAGGAUUGCCAUGAGUUCGAGGCCAGCUUGGGCUACAUAAUGAAGUCCAGGCCAUUGGAAUGCAGAGUGAGAAUUUGUCUUCAAAACAAAUGAGCAAACAAGUUUAAACACCCUGGGCUUCUCCCCUAGGACCCAGAAGAGUCUCUGAGAAGUGGGAUGGAGGUGGGUGACAGGCUGAUGCUGGGAAGAACUGGCCUGGGGCGGAAGUCUGGGGGUGGGGUGGGGUGGGGGAACCACAGCUGGAGGGUGGAAAGCCUCUUCCCGCUCUCCCCACCCAGCCUCAGAACCGCAGUUCCUGCAUUAGAAGCGUUCACUUUUCCACGCGCGUGUGUGUAUGGAGACUUCCCCAGCCUAAUCGUGCAGACCAUGUCAGAUUCCAGCCCACCCGGCUCCUAGCAGUACUGUGUGAGCUUGGGCAAGUCUCUCAGGCCUGGGGAGCCCCCUGUUCCCAGGCAAGGGGUUUCCCCCAGAACAGCACAGGGGCAGGGCUCAUCAGCGCUUUUAAUACUGGGAAGCCUGCCGAGCCUCAGGACGGGAAAUGACCAUACAUUGCAGUGUAGGACUAGUUCUUGUGCCAGCCAGCCCUGCACCCACCUCUGCAAGCCAGGCGUGGUUGUCGUCCUUGCUGGAGAACACAAUGUGAACGAGCCUCUGGCUUUGGGACCCAGCCCAGGGAUUUCUCCCCACCCCUCUUCGGCCUUCAGCCUCUUGUCCAGCUACAGUAGGCCCAGUCCCACCUUGUUUGGUUUCCAUUCCUACCCCACUCUGUUACCACUUACAGCCAGAGAGCCUGUGAAUCGCCAAGUCUGGCCAGAGGCCUCUUGGCUUCAAGCCCUUCCCUGGUUCCNCCUCAUUCCUUGUUAAAAAAAAAAAAAAGUGCUCACCUUGGUGUCCAGAGCCCUCCUGAUUGGGCCCCUUCCACCUGUCUGUCUAACUGGCUCCUCCUUAGCCUCCCGGUUGAUUAUCCCAGGUGUCAAUCUACACCCCUGCUCAUCCCACCUGCCCCCCCCCCCCCCCCCCCGGCCUCAGGACCUUUGCACUGCUAUCCCUUCCACAGGAGGAAGUUCGCUCUUCUUGCAUGGCUGCCUUCCAUCUUUCUGUGUCCGUUGCUCUUUUUAUACUUCCGUAGCUUGUUUACUCUUAGAAAGACAUUUACUUUGGUGGUGAGGGCUUGGGUGGGCUGGAGAGAGGUUCAGGAUAUCAUUAUGUAGCCUGGGCUGGCCUCAAACCUCAGUAUGUAGCUGAGGCAGGGCUCGAAUUUAUGAACUUCCUGCCUCAGCCUCCUAAAUGCUGGGAUUACAGGCAGGAACCACCAACCCCACAAAUUUUUUACAUUUUUACUUAGUGAAUAUUCAUUUCAAAUAAAAGUGUAUAAUGGCCAUCUGUGUCCUCACCAUCAUAAGAGGUUCAGUAUGCAUAAAAAGCCUCAUUAAUUUCUUUAAAGGUUCUGAUUGUUUCUAAGGACAAUGGAAAGUCAUUAAAGUAUUUAAGUG